rnacentral:rRNA from 1 species
CCUACGGGUGACAGCAGUGGGGGAUAUUGCACAAUGGGGGAAACCCUGAUGCAGCAACGCCGCGUGUGGGAAGAAGGUUUUCGGAUUGUAAACCACUGUUCUUGGUGAAGAUAAUGACGGUAACCAAGGAGAAAGCUCCGGCUAACUACGUGCCAGCAGCCGCGGUAAUACGUAGGGAGCAAGCGUUGUCCGGAUUUACUGGGUGUAAAGGGUGCGUAGGCGGUCGUGCAGGUCAGACGUGAAAACCACAGGCUCAACAUGUGGACUGCGAUUGAAACUGUGGGGCUUGAGUGAAGGAGAGGUAGGCGGAAUGACCGGUGUAGCGGUGAAAGGCGUAGAGAUAGGGAGGAACACCAGAGGAGAAGGCGGCGUACUGGGCUUUAAAUGACGCUGAGGCACGAAAGCAUGGGUAGCAAACAGGAUGAGAGACCCGGGUAGUG